rnacentral:rRNA from 1 species
ACUCAAAGGAAUUGACGGGGGCCCGCACAAGCGGUGGAGCAUGUGGUUUAAUUCGACGCAACGCGCAGAACCUUACCAGCCCUUGACAUGCCGCGCUACUCACAGAGAUGUGGGGUUCCAGCAAUGGACGCGGACACAGGUGCUGCAUGGCUGUCGUCAGCUCGUGUCGUGAGAUGUUGGGUUAAGUCCCGCAACGAGCGCAACCCUUGCCUUCAGUUGCCAUCAUUAAGUUGGGCACUCUGGAGGGACUGCCGGCGGUAAGCCGGAGGAAGGUGGGGAUGACGUCAAGUCCUCAUGGCCCUUACGGGCUGGGCUACACACGUGCUACAAUGGUGGCGACAGAGGGCACAAGCGAGCGUGUGAACGUUAGCAAAUCCCAAAAAGCCAUCUCAGUUCAGAUUGCGCUCUGCAACUCGGGCGCAUGAAGGUGGAAUCGCUAGUAAUCGCAGAACAGCAGGCUGCGGUGAAUACGUUCCCGGGCCUUGUACACACCGCCCGU